UGGCACGCUCUUGACGAUCCUUGGCAGGGAAACCACGGAGGUUGACUUUCACCUCUAAAACUCCAUCGGGGAAGACCUGCUUGAAGAGGAUUUGCCCAAAGAUCUUUGGCUGGGAAGGUGGCAAAUUGGGGCUGGGAGUUACUUCACAAGUGGCAUAGAUCGUGUUGUUGAACUCCACGACUUCCGGCUGUGGAGCUUCGGCAAUGGGUGAACAAACUGGACUUCUAGUCAACUCUCCUCCUUGUAUAUG